GACGAACGCUGGCGGCGUGCUUAACACAUGCAAGUCGAACGGAAAGGCCCUGCUUUUGUGGGGUGCUCGAGUGGCGAACGGGUGAGUAACACGUGAGUAACCUGCCCUUGACUUUGGGAUAACUUCAGGAAACUGGGGCUAAUACCGGAUAGGAGCUCCUGCUGCAUGGUGGGGGUUGGAAAGUUUCGGCGGUUGGGGAUGGACUCGCGGCUUAUUAGCUUGUUGGUGGGGUAGUGGCUUACCAAGGCUUUGACGGGUAGCCGGCCUGAGAGGGUGACCGGCCACAUUGGGACUGAGAUACGGCCCAGACUCCUACGGGAGGCAGCAGUGGGGAAUAUUGCACAAUGGGCGGAAGCCUGAUGCAGCAACGCCGCGUGCGGGAUGACGGCCUUCGGGUUGUAAACCGCUUUCGCCUGUGACGAAGCGUGAGUGACGGUAAUGGGUAAAGAAGCAUCGGCUAACUACGUG
rnacentral:rRNA from 1 species